GGUUACUGCUAUCGAGGUUCGACUAAGCCAUGCGAGUCGAAUGUAGCAAUACAUGGCGUACUGCUCAGUAACACGUGGAUAACCUGCCCUUAGGACGGGGAUAAACCCGGGAAACUGGGUAUAAUACCCGAUAGAUCUCGAUUGCUGGAAUGCAUCGAGAUCUAAAGCUCCGGCGCCUAAGGAUGGAUCUGCGGCCUAUCAGGUAGUAGUGGGUGUAGCGUACCUACUAGCCUACGACGGGUACGGGUUGUGAGAGCAAGAGCCCGGAGAUGGAUUCUGAGACACGAAUCCAGGCCCUACGGGGUGCAGCAGGCGCGAAAACUUUACAAUGCUGGCAACAGCGAUAAGGGGACCUCAAGUGCCAGGUUACAAAUCUGGCUGUCGUGAUGCCUAAAAAGCAUUGCAUAGCAAGGGCCGGGCAAGACCGGUGCCAGCCGCCGCGGUAACACCGGCGGCUCGAGUGGUAACCGUUAUUAUUGGGUCUAAAGGGUCUGUAGCCGGCCGGAUAAGUCUCUUGGGAAAUCUGGCAGCUUAACUGUCAGGCUUUCAGGAGAUACUGUCUGGCUCGAGGCCGGGAGAGGUGAGAGGUACUUCAGGGGUAGGGGUGAAAUCUUGUGAUCCUUGAAGGACCACCAGUGGCGAAGGCGUCUCACCAGAACGGACCUGACGGCAAGGGACGAAAGCUAGGGGCACGAACCGGAUUAGAUACCCGGGUAGUCCUAGCCGUAAACGAUACUCGCUAGGUGUCGGCCACGGUGCGACCGUUGUCGGUGCCGUAGGGAAGCCGUGAAGCGAGCCACCUGGGAAGUACGGCCGCAAGGCUGAAACUUAAAGGAAUUGGCGGGGGAGCACCACAACGGGUGGAGCUUGCGGUUUAAUUGGAUUCAACGCC
rnacentral:rRNA from 1 species